GACGAACGCUGGCGGCGUGCCUAACACAUGCAAGUCGAACGAAGUUUUUAUGGAAUGCGACUUCGGUCAAAUGAAGUUUAAACUUAGUGGCGGACGGGUGAGUAACGCGUGAGCAACCUGCCUUUCAGAGGGGGAUAACGUUUGGAAACGAACGCUAAUACCGCAUGAUAUAACGCAAUCGCAUGAUUGUGUUAUCAAAGGAGCAAUCCGCUGAAAGAUGGGCUCGCGUCCGAUUAGGUAGUUGGUGGGGUAACGGCCUACCAAGCCGACGAUCGGUAGCCGGACUGAGAGGUUGAACGGCCACAUUGGGACUGAGACACGGCCCAGGACUCCUACGGGAGGCAGCAGUGGGGAAUAUUGGCACAAUGGGGGAAACCCUGAUGCAGCAACGCCGCGUGAGGGAAGACGGUUUUCGGAUUGUAAACCUCUGUCCUCUGUGAAGAAGAAAGUGACGGUAGCAGA
rnacentral:rRNA from 1 species